GCAACCUUGGCCGAGUGGUUUAAGGCGGUAGAUCUGAGUUGUUAUUCUAACAAUAGAAUCUCUACUAACGAAAGUUGCGUGAGUCGAACCUCACAGCUUGCA